GACUUGGUGAUGAUUGUCUAUUUGAUUGCUUGAUGCAAUGUGAAAACCACAUUUCACACACACACACACACACACAAAAGAA